UUGACCUCGGAUCAGGUAGGGAUACCCGCUGAACUUAAGCAUAUCAAUAAGCGGAGGAAAAGAAACCAACCGGGAUUGCCCCAGUAACGGCGAGUGAAGCGGCAAGAGCUCAAAUUUGAAAUCUGGCCCCCUGCGGGGUCCGAGUUGUAAUUUGCAGAGGAUGCUUCGGGUGCGGCCCCUGCCUAAGUGCCCUGGAAUGGGCCGUCAGAGAGGGUGAGAAUCCCGUCCUGGGCAGGGUGCCCCGCGCCCGUGUGAAGCUCCUUCGACGAGUCGAGUUGUUUGGGAAUGCAGCUCUAAAUGGGUGGUAAAUUUCAUCUAAAGCUAAAUACCGGCCGGAGACCGAUAGCGCACAAGUAGAGUGAUCGAAAGAUGAAAAGCACUUUGAAAAGAGAGUUAAACAGCACGUGAAAUUGUUGAAAGGGAAGCGCUUGCGACCAGACUCGCCCCCGGGGUUCAGCCGGCACUCGUGCCGGUGUACUUCCCCGGGGGCGGGCCAGCGUCGGUUUGGGCGGCCGGUCAAAGGCCCCAGGAAUGUAUCGCCCCCCGGGGCGUCUUAUAGCCUGGGGUGCAAUGCGGCCAGCCCGGACCGAGGAACGCGCUUCGGCACGGACGCUGGCGUAAUGGUCGCAAACGACC
rnacentral:rRNA from 1 species